rnacentral:rRNA from 1 species
AUUGAACGCUGGCGACAUGCCUUACACAUGCAAGUCGAACGGCAGCACGGGUGCUUGCACCUGGUGGCGAGUGGCGAACGGGUGAGUAAUACAUCGGAACAUGUCCUGUAGUGGGGGAUAGCCCGGCGAAAGCCGGAUUAAUACCGCAUGCGAUCUACGGAUGAAAGCGGGGGACCUUCGGGCCUCGCGCUAUAGGGUUGGCCGAUGGCUGAUUAGCUAGUUGGUGGGGUAAAGGCCUACCAAGGCGACGAUCAGUAGCUGGUCUGAGAGGACGACCAGCCACACUGGGACUGAGACACGGCCCAGACUCCUACGGGAGGCAGCAGUGGGGAAUGUUGGACAAUGGGCGAAAGCCUGAUCCAGCAAUGCCGCGUGUGUGAAGAAGGCCUUCGGGUUGUAAGGCACUUUUGUCCGGAAAGAAAUCCUUGGCCCUAAUACGGUCGGGGGAUGACGGUACCGGAAGAAUAAGCACCGGCUAACUACGUG